UACGAAGGGGGCUAGCGUUGCUCGGAAUCACUGGGCGUAAAGCGCACGUAGGCGGAUCUUUUAAGUCAGGGGUGAAAUCCUGGAGCUCAACUCCAGAACUGCCUUUGAUACUGGGGAUCUCGAGUCCGGGAGAGGUGAGUGGAACUCCGAGUGUAGAGGUGAAAUUCGUAGAUAUUCGGAAGAACACCAGUGGCGAAGGCGGCUCACUGGCCCGGUACUGACGCUGAGGUGCGAAAGCGUGGGGAGCAAACAGGG
rnacentral:rRNA from 1 species